AGCAUGCCGUUGGCAGCACCAGCAGCUCUAUCUACAACACUAGUCGCACUACGCCACUCUUCUCAGAAGACGUAGCACGGGGGGUAAGCUAUACGUGGAAGGCCUCUCACCCUUCCUUCGCUCCCUGCCUCUCUUCAGCAUCAGUCGCACCAGAAAGCUUCACAUUCCUGGCACCGCUGGAAAUAUUGAACACAGACACCCAUACAAAAAACGAAGGAGGAGGGAGGUGUUUGCUAUCCUAGAGUUUUCUCAGCGCAGCGCACACCGACAUAACGCGACAGUGCAGCCAGAGCAACACAAAGAAAAGAGGAGAGGAAUAAACGUGCAAGCACACACAGCGUGGUGAAGUGCGAUCCCCGCUUUUUCUUCGCUAAGGAGAACCAUCAUACGGCAGUAGUCGCUGUGGCUGUUGCCACGCUCCUUAUCCGCGCCCUUUCGGGCUCACCUCACCCUAAACCCUUUUUUUCCUCUUACCGCCCCACUUGUUGCGCUUGUCGGUUCACAUCUCGCUCCGUCACCCAUCACCACGAGGAAAACGCCAAG
rnacentral:misc_RNA from 1 species